CACAAAAUUUCAAGAUGGAGGACGAGGAAGUUAGAACGCCAUAAGGGGUGUGACUACACAAAAAUGGCUACCCGGACGCUGUUCAGAAAAGAAUAGAAGUAAAACAACUUCUUCACAAAAGGAAACAGUGACAGAUACUUACUUGAUGUAUAGCGCUCUCGUCCAGUACACAUCCUAAUACUGGAGGACAAUGGAUACCAAACAACGUGGAACAAUGUGAUGAAAAUGUGCCAGCCACUAUCUAUCAACUAAACCAACCUGUGAGUGACAACCAAAAGCCUCGUUAGGAAUUGCGUCUUGCUCAGAAUUUAGGAAAACUUCUGAAGCAUUGUAGAGGGGAUUAGAGUUAAUCAUGGCGUCUGGUUCCAGAGACGAUGGUUGGGAUUCAUCUGAUUCUGACAGUGAUUUGG